AUAGUUUGAUUCUAGCUAAUAUGUUAUUUUAUUCUAUGCAAGUACAUGAAAAUUACAAGCACCCUAAAUUAUAGCUCUAAAAGAUAAAAAACAUUUUAUAGACUACUAAAAAAUGAAGUGCCUCAGUACGUAAAUCUAUAUUAAUCAAAAAUUGAGUAAUGGUAAUAGAAAAAUAGGCCGGCAAAAUUCGUGCCAGCCGCCGCGGUUAGACGAUAGGCUGAAAAUAACAUCUAAAGGCUGUAUGUUAAAUUAACAGGUAAAUUAAAAAAUAAAGAGGUUCAAUUCAAAUCAUUCUAGCUCCAUUAUUACCUUUAUAGUCCACAUAAAACCAUAAAUAAAAACAAGGAUUAGAUACCCUUCUAUUUAUGACAUACUUAAAGCCGGAUAAUACGAACAAUAGUUUAAAAUCCAAAGAACUUGGCGGUAUCUUAUAAAAUCAGGGGAACCUGUCACUUAAUUCGAUAAUCCACGAACAUCUUCACCUCUAUUUGAAUAACAGCCUGUGUACUGCUGUCGUCAGUAAACCUUUAAAAGUAAGUUUACAACUAUAUUAUAAAUAUUCACGUCAAGUCAAAGUGCAGCUAAUAUAAAGGAGUAGAUGGGUUACAAUCUAAAAAUAGAUACGGAUGUAUAGCCAAUAAUAUACUGAAGGUGGACUUGAUAGUAAUGUUUAAAGCCAUGAAAAUUAAUCUAAGAUAUGCACACAUCGCCCGUCACUCUCGUCUAAAGAUGAGAAAAGUCGUAACAAAGUAGGCAUAACGGAAGUUGUGCCUGU
rnacentral:ncRNA from 1 species